GACGAACGCUGGCGGCGUGCUUAACACAUGCGAGUCGAACGGAAAGGCCCUGCUUUUGUGGGGUGCUCGAGUGGCGAACGGGUGAGUAACACGUGAGUAACCUGCCCUUGACUUUGGGAUAACUUCAGGAAACUGGGGCUAAUACCGGAUAGGAGCUCCUGCUGCAUGGUGGGGGUUGGAAAGUUUCGGCGGUUGGGGAUGGACUCGCGGCUUAUCAGCUUGUUGGUGGGGUAGUGGCUUACCAAGGCUUUGACGGGUAGCCGGCCUGAGAGGGUGACCGGCCACAUUGGGACUGAGAUACGGCCCAGACUCCUACGGGAGGCAGCAGUGGGGAAUAUUGCACAAUGGGCGGAAGCCUGAUGCAGCAACGCCGCGUGCGGGAUGACGGCCUUCGGGUUGUAAACCGCUUUCGCCUGUGACGAAGCGUGAGAGACGGUAAUGGGUAAAGAAGCACCGGCUAACUACGUG
rnacentral:rRNA from 1 species